rnacentral:rRNA from 1 species
UCGGGCGCUUGGAGAUGGGCCUGCGGCGGAUUAGCUAGUUGGUGGGGUAACGGCCUACCAAGGCGAUGAUCCGUAGGGGGCGUGAGAGCGUGGCCCCCCACACUGGCACUGAGAUACGGGCCAGACUCCUACGGGAGGCAGCAGUGAGGAAUAUUGCACAAUGGGCGCAAGCCUGAUGCAGCAACGCCGCGUGCGGGACGAAGGCCUUCGGGUCGUAAACCGCUUUUCUGGGGAAAGAGCAAGGACGGUACCUCAGGAAUAAGUCUCGGCUAACUACGUGCCAGCAGCCGCGGUAAAACGUAGGAGGCGAGCGUUAUCCGGAUUUACUGGGCGUAAAGCGCACGCAGGCGGCUCCGUGAGUCGGACGUGAAAGCUCUCGGCUUAACCGGGAGAGGCCGUUCGAUACUGCGGGGCUUGAGGUAGGGAGAGGAAUGCGGAAUUCCCGGUGUAGUGGUGGAAUGCGUAGAUAUCGGGAGGAACACCUGUGGCGAAAGCGGCAUUCUGGCCCUCACCUGACGCUGAGGUGCGAAAGCGUGGGUAGCAAACAGGAUUAGAUACCCUGGUAGUCCACGCCGUAAACGAUGCCAACUGGGUGUCGGUAGUUUUACACUAUCGGUGCCGAAGCUAACGCG